CCAUUAGGAAGAAGAACCUGACCCAAUCAACACAAGACGAUUCUGUAGUAGGUUGGAAACGUGUUGUUUGUUGUUCAAACAAAAAUAAUCAAGCACCGUAAUGAGCGCGUACGGUAUGAAGCUAAUGAAAAAAACAUAUCCUUACCCAGCGUCUGUGCGUUGUCAAAAGUGUUUGGAAAUGGGUCACUGGAGUUAUGAGUGCAAAGGCAAGAGGAAAUACGUUCACAGAUCUUCACGAACUACGCAAUUAAAAAAGGCAAUAAAACAGCAAGAGGUGGAAAAAUUGGAGCCAGAGAUGACCAGUGAAACUGUGAAACAGAAAAAAAAAAUUAGAAAGGAAUCAAGUAGUACAAGUGAUUCAGAUAGCUCAAGCACAGAUAGUAGCAGUUCAGACAGUUCUUCCUCCGAUGAUUCGGAUUCCAGUGACAGCUCAUCUAGCUCGAGUAGUAGCAGUGGUAGUAGUAGCAGCACCUCAUCCAGUUCAUCAAGCAGAGAUUCUAGUUCCAGCGAAGGUACCAAAUCCAGCAAAGCAAAAAAAACGAAAAAAUAAGUCACAGCAUGAUGGGUGUCCACCAGGGAUUGACAGUGGUGUUCUCUUGGCAGUGAGCAAAGGCUACAAAUACAUUGAAGAGCUACCACCAUAAGCCUGUUCUCCAUCCAGAUGUAGACAAAUAUAUUGAGUUGAUAUUUAGAGAUCUAAUUGUGACAGUUACAAUGCUAUGACAGAAGAUACACACCAAAUUCAAACGGGAGCUUCAACAACGUACUUUGGUAAUAGCACCCGAGAUCAACCAUAGCAGUUCACACAUUGGAAACAUUGCCGCUAAUACAGCGACAUGAAUUUUUAACUCCGGAACCAAAUCAAAAGGAAAGCUGAUUGGUACUGCGAAGUAGACGAUGAGGAGCACAUUCAUAUCAACCAAAUUGAAACUAAACAGGCGACCCGUGAAGAGGAAUUCAGUGUAAAUAGAUGAACCGACUGCACGGAUUCCUGGGUCCAUGAGGAAUACGUUUUACGCUGGACAAGAUAACAGUGAUUCCAGAAAAUGGGUUCCUGUAAAAAAAAAAAAUUUAUACAUGCACCUGCAUGUAUACGGCUUUCAAAUGAAAAAAUCUGAUUCAAAUGGAAUUAUUAGCUUAUGAGAUAAACAUUCCCGAAAUUGCUCUUGCGGUCUACUGGUACAUUACCCCUUGAUAAUCUCCAUCAGUCUCCAGUAAAAAUACUUCUUUUAUAUCAAAAUUAUAGCAGUGUUAUAGAUAGCAAAAAUAACUCUGUAUUAAUUACUACGCGUUGAUGGGAUGAUAAUAAAUUCAAUUCUUGAACAUCAUAAUGCUACAAUA
rnacentral:misc_RNA from 1 species